AGUGAACGCUGGCGGCGUGCCUAAUACAUGCAAGUCGAACGGAGUAUUAAGAGAGCUUGCUCUUUUAAUACUUAGUGGCGCACGGGUGAGUAAUGUAUAGUUAAUCUGCCCUACACUGGAGGACAACAGUUAGAAAUGACUGCUAAUACUCCAUACUCCUUCUUAACAUAAGUUAAGUUGGGAAAGUUUUUUCGGUGUAGGAUGAGACUAUAUUGUAUCAGCUAGUUGGUAAGGUAAUGGCUUACCAAGGCUAUGACGC
rnacentral:rRNA from 1 species